GAAGAAUUCAACUGGGCAGAGAAGUGAAUUUGGGCAGCCACAGCUCAAAACGCAUGUUCAUCACCAGAAUGCUGCUAUCCACCCCUUCUUCUCUUGUCCAAAGUGGCCUAUGGCUGGAGAAAAUGUCUGUUGAUUAGUUUCAUCAGCAUAGGAAUAUUCAGAGAGUAAUGACUGCAACUGUCAUUAAAAAUCAGCAACUGUGUCUAACCUAUAGAAGGUGGCGUAUAUUUCUAAUGAUAUUUUC
rnacentral:lncRNA from 1 species